GGCCAUUGGCAGCCCGGGAGAAGGGCACUUCCGGGCGGGGUGGAAGACACCGGCCAAUCAGUCUGCAAGCGGGACUUCUGUCGCCGUCCUCGGACCAUCACUUUGGCAUUUCUCGAUUUUGUCUGCAUUUGAAGGGACCGCGUUGUCAGGCGAGGGACAGAAUCUUGGAGGCUCCCUGGGCCCAUGGAAACAGGAGUGAGGAAGGCACGAGAGUCGGGGAAGUUCGUGACAUAUAAGCGCCCCGACCGCGGCGAAUAUCGCCCCCCGAGCCCCAGUGUUCCCCCCGGCUGUAGAUGAAGCCGGCCCAGUGGGACCCUCAGGUCGCACCGCGCGGAGGUGUCCGCGGCUCCCGGGAGUCGUCGCCCUUGGCGUUGUGUCGGCUUUACGGAGCGCGAGGCCGAGGCCAAGAAAAGCCACGCGUUGACCCAGCGUGCGCCCGGCUGCAGGCUUGGAGCGUGUGCCAAGGGUCUCCUGGCACCCACUCGGCUGGACUCAGCACCAUUGCCCUAAGUCUCCGAUUGAGAAGUACCUGCCCCAGGUCCUCUGCAGCCCCACCGAACAGUGUGGAGCGUUCACAGCACCAUGAAGAGAGGAAGGAGAUGACAUCACCCAUGGAAGGACAUAUAUACCCUGUCCAGUCUUCUUGUUGGCAAAAACACAGUAAGCCAAGUUGACACCUCCCUGAUAAUUCCAGAAGUCCUCUGGACCACUCAGAUUGCCUAAGACCUCCCCGUCUAGAAGAAGAAAUGACAUCCACCCCAAAAAGUAUGUGCCCUGAAAAACAUACCUUCUGAAGUUUCUGUCAACACUACUGGAGACAGAGGUCGGUGGAGCCCGAGUAAAUGUCCAGAAGUCCAGAGAUGCUGUGAACGCUUACUGUAGCCUCCAUGCUGGCCUUAUGGGGACACCAAGAUUCCUGGAUGUGGAAUCCACUGAGCACCUUUGCCUGCAGACUUCAGUGCCAGGAGCCACAUCGACAACCCCUGACUCUCCCAAUACUGUUCCUCUACCCAUAAGCCUCUGUGGUUCCCUAAAAGGAGAUGAUAUUGUUUUCCCCACUCCCUGCCUUGAUGCCUAGACUCAGGCAUGACUGCAGUCAUCUGCCAAGUUGUCUCUGGAAAACCUUUGACACAGGUAUUGUGAAUGCCCCAGUCUCUGUCUUAUCCCCACCACGACCAAGCCCAGUAAUUACCCAUUCUCUUAGGACCUGACCCAUCUCCACCUCCCAGGCUUUCUCCUGAUCCAAGGCUGUCUGGGAAAUCCAGCUCCAAGGUAACAGUUGCUUUUGAGGCUCCUCCCCAAAGGGCUUGUGAAAU